UUCACCAUGGAUAGCUAAGACGACAAGAAGCAAAACUACAGAUAGGAAGGACCAUAGAUACUGUAAUGUUAGGAGAACCUCAACCACAGGGAGAGGAAGUGGGGAUAAGCAUUAAAAGUGUUUUGCUUCAGAUUCUAGGCCGUCUCCCCACAGGCAGAACAGUAUCACAACUAACAGCACUGGUGAAUGUUAAUCCAGCUCCUGACAAGCCUGCUGUAGCAUAAGGUCUAAAACUCUCAAAACAAAUACCAUACUCUACUCGGCAUUAAAUAUCAGACACUCCAGAAAUUCUCCUUGCUCCUUUGAUAAAGUAAGUAGCCAUCUUGGAAAACCCUCCUAGAAAGGACCUGUGGGAACUACGGAUAGCCCCAAGGAAAUGAAGACGGCCGCUAGCUGACAGCCAUCAAGAAACUAGGCCUUCAGUCCCACAACCUCAAGAAGAUGAAUUCUACCAGCAAUUCCAAGUGAGCUUGGAAGUGUUUUCUUCCCUUUGUUAUGCCUCUGGAUGAAAAGGCAGCCUGCCUGAUAUUUCAUUAUAGCCUUGUGAGAUCCUGAGGAGGGGACCAAGGAUGCACGCCUUCAUGAAAUCCUGGCUCAGCUCUCAAGCUUGCAUCCCCUCAACAAGAACAAGGACCAAGCCGUUGUUUGCAGGGCUCUGGGUUCAGUCCGAAGACACUUCUGCUAUUACUAAUUUAAGUAUAAUUCACUAUCUAAUAA